rnacentral:rRNA from 1 species
ACAAAUGGCCAUGCCACCUUGAACACUCCCGAUCUCAUCUGAUCUGGGAAGCUAAGCAGGAUCAGGUCUAGUACUUGGAUGGGAGACCACCUAUGAAUACCAGGCGCUGUAGGUG